GUGCUCACUUCAGCAGCACAUAUAAUAAAAUUGGAAUGAUACAGAGAAGAUUAGCAUGGCCCCUGCACGAGGAUGACAUGCAAACCCAUGAAGACUUUCUUAUUUUU